rnacentral:lncRNA from 1 species
UGCCACGCAUCCUCCAACUCAACACUGUUCAGCCACAUUGGACUCGUCCCCUGGUUUUGAGGCUAAACUGGUCAAACCCUCUUACACGCCCCACAAGGCGUGAUUCACCCCCGGUUUUGAGGUCAAACCGAUCAAACCUUCUUGCAUGCUAUGCACAACAUGACUCACCGAUGUUGACGCAUGUCCGGCCUCCGCCAAGCCUUCGACGCCUCCAAGUCUUUUGCUCCCGGCUCCCGAGCUGCCUACUCGACUUAUAUCCCUCCCGCUUGACUCGACCGAUGCCGUCUCCAUCCCGUCCAUAUACUCUUGCUCCUCCGUGCACCAUGUGGAUCACCCAUGACUCUGCCCAGACUCCUCGGGUCCCUUAGUCCAAGCCUACUCAUGUCCACCUUCAUAGCCCUAGUACAUCGGCAUGGACCUUUUGCGCUUGACCUUCACCUCAUGCCGUUGACCGCCAUGUCGCAUCCUUCACCUGCAC